GCCGAUGUAGCUCAGUGGUAGAGCAACUCUUUCGUAAAGAGUAGGUCGCUGGUUCGACCCCAGUCAUCGGCU
rnacentral:tRNA from 1 species